UACGUAGGGUGCGAGCGUUGUCCGGAAUUCUUGGGCGUAAAGGGCUCGUAGGCGGUUUGUCGCGUCGGGAGUGAAAAUCCAGGGCUUAACUCUGGACUGGCUUCCGAUACGGGCAGACUAGAGGUAUGCAGGGGAGAACGGAAUUCCUGGUGUAGCGGUGAAAUGCGCAGAUAUCAGGAGGAACACCGGUGGCGAAGGCGGUUCUCUGGGCAUUACCUGACGCUGAGGAGCGAAAGCAUGGGGAGCGAACAGG
rnacentral:rRNA from 1 species